GACGAACGCUGGCGGCGUGCUUAACACAUGCAAGUCGAACGGUGAAGCGCCUUCCUUUUUGGUGGGUGUGGAUGAGUGGCGAACGGGUGAGUAACACGUGAGUAACCUGCCCCCUUCUUCUGGAUAACCGCAUGAAAGUGUGGCUAAUACGGGAUAUUCUGGGUCUGUCGCAUGAUGGGUCUGGGAAAGAUAUUGUUUCGGUGGGGGAUGGGCUCGCGGCCUAUCAGCUUGUUGGUGGGGUGAUGGCCUACCAAGGCGGUGACGGGUAGCCGGCCUGGGAGGGUGGACGGUCACACUGGGACUGAGACACGGCCCAGACUCCUACGGGAGGCAGCAGUGGAGAAUAGUGCACAAUGGGCGCAAGCCUGAUGCAGCGACGCCGCGUGAGGGAUGGAGGCCUUCGGGUUGUGAACCUCUUUCGCCAGUGAAGCAGGCCUGCCUCGUUUGUGGGUGGGUUGACGGUAGCUGGAUAAGAAGCGCCGGCUAACUACGUG
rnacentral:rRNA from 1 species